rnacentral:lncRNA from 1 species
AAAGAUUUGCGAUGACUGAACCAGGACUAACCCAGGUCUUUGGUGUCAUGUUUCAGAGCAGAGGGACCUGUCCGGCGAAGAGCUCACCCGGCUCUACAACACUCGUGUGAUCAAAGCAGAGCGCGUCGUUCGUCUUACAAAUGGCAUGCCAGCCUGGAUGCCCAACCUGUACAUCACCACCCACAGCGGAGUCAGGGUGACUCUGGCAGACGGCAACAGUCGCAGGUUCUUGAUCCACAAAGGCCCAGGCAACGGCAGCGUCUCGGACACUGUGGUCACAGAUGCCAAGUACAUGUCCAGCGCAUGGAUGGUAACUCUCCUCUGCUGCUGACAAACACUAACCCAGGGCUUGACAAGUUCUAAAUCGCUAUAAUUGUAACUAAAUAUGUGACUACGCCAGGACUAAAGGGCCUAUCUCACUAGCUUAGAGAGCUGGAGACUAGUUGGAGACAAGAAUCGCCGCUGGUCAUGGAGAUGUCUACGAGACAUCCCCUGGAGAUAAGGUGAGUCUCCAGAUAGUCUCUGUGAAAAUGAACAUGUUGGAUUUCAGCAGAGUCUCUGAGAGGUCUCCGUGAGGUCUACGCGUCUCAAGCAGCUGUGGCAAUGUUGCAAACACCGUUUGUUGUCCUCAACAAGAGACUCUGAGAUCUCCUUGGACCUGUCGGAUAUUCGACAGGUCUCGGAGACAUUACAGGCACUUCACAGAAACGUCUCACAGGUUAAGGACAACAAAUAGUAUUCAGGACACAACUGCUUGAGACCGCACACUGCAUGAAGACUUGAAAUGGUCUCCAUGCAUUCCAUCGAACAUGUUUGUUUUCACUGAGACCAGGAGACUCCUCUUUUCUCCAGGGGACGUCUCUGAGACAUCUCAGUAACCAGCGGCAACUCGAAUGUCCAACUAGUCUCCAGGCCGGUGAGAUAGGCC